rnacentral:rRNA from 1 species
GGUUAAGCGACUAAGCGUACACGGUGGAUGCCCUGGCAGUCAGAGGCGAUGAAGGACGUGCUAAUCUGCGAUAAGCGUCGGUAAGGUGAUAUGAACCGUUAUAACCGGCGAUUUCCGAAUGGGGAAACCCAGUGUGUUUCGACACACUAUCAUUAACUGAAUCCAUAG